GACGAACGCUGGCGGCGUGCCUAAUACAUGCAAGUAGGACGCAGUUGCGAACGGGUGAGUAACGCGUAGGUAACUACCUAUUAGAGGGGGAUAACUAUUGGAACCGAUAGCUAAUACCGCAUACUAGUAGAUGGACCUGCGUUGUAUUAGCUAGUAGGUAGGGUAAUGGCCUACCUAGGCAACGAUACAUAACCGCACUGGGAGGGGGAUCUGCCACACUGGGACUGGGACACGGCCCAGACUCCUUCGGGAGGCAGCAGUAGGGAAUCUCCGUCAAAGGGGGGAACCCUGACCGAGCAAAGCCGCGUGAGUGAAGAAGGUUUUCGGACCGUAAAGAUCUGUUGUUAAGGAAGCGGUACUUAACCAGAAAGGGACGGCUAACUACGUGCCAGCAGCCGCGGUAAUUC
rnacentral:rRNA from 1 species